GACCAGCCCCACACAGAGCUGAGUGUUCAUGAUGGUGACAUAGUGGAGGGGCCGGGAGAUGGCAACAAGGCGGUCAUAGGCCAUCACUGAGAGAAAGAAGACCAUGGCACCUCCCAGAAAGUGGAAGAAGAAGACCUGAGUCAUGCAGCCCUGGUAGGAGAUGGUCUUCUUCUCAGCACACAAGUCCACCAGCAUCUUUGGAGCAGUGACUGAAGAGAAGCAGAGGUCUAAGAUAGCCAGGUUUCUGAGCAGAAAAUACAUGGGUGUGUGGAGCCUGGAAUCAGAGGUCACUGUCACUAUGAUGAGGAGGUUGCCCAUGACAGUGGUUGUGUAGACAAACAGGAACACCAGAAAUAAGACUAGCUGGAGCUCCUGAGUCUGUGAGAGCCCCAGGAAGACAAAUUCUGUCAUACAUGUGUGAUUCCCUGAUGCCAUGAUGCCUUCUCCAUACACCUAAAGAAAACACACCACAGACAGAGAUGCAUGAAGUUACUAUGUACUGUUCUAGUGCUCAGUGACUCAAAGCAACUGUCCAAGUCCAAAUGAUGGACACCCUCAUCUGAUGCUGGAAUACACAUUCAUGAGAUAUCUUAAAGCCAUCCAGACACACGCUAUCUGCUUUUCAAAGAUUCAGUGUAAUAUAGUGGUGGGAAAACAGAGUCCAACAGAACCAGAGUCAAAUUUCAGAACUUAAUAUUCCAUGAGAUUUGACCUUGAGUAAGGUAUUUACCUGAGUCUGUUUCCACAUCUCUAAGAAGUUUUCUUUUCUAGAAAAUUUCCAUGGAAUUAAAUAACACAUAAGGUUUCUAGAAUAUGUCUGGAAUAAUAAAUGCUCAUCACUCUCCUCUGUGUAGCGUCCUAAUCUAAAUAAAUCCAUGUUCCAAUCUCUAAUACAUUUUUUGUAUCAGUCAUUUAUCAAGCAACAGUUAACACAUUAUAAUAUGAAUGGACUUUUCAUAAGUCUAUGUUUUCCCUCUAUAAUUCAACUCUAAGCUCCCAGAGAUAUAAAUAUGUAUCUUAUAACUUAUUUAUGCCCUACCAUGCACACUUUGCUGAUAGUCAAUAUUCAAAAAGUAUGUGGUGUUGAUUCUGGGUGGGUGAAAAGCUAUAGGGAGUGCCUCCUCUGACUGACGUAGGUGGUCCUUUACUGGGAGCAGUAACAGGACAUGUAUGGUAUAUGUCCUGAGACAAGAAAAGGGGGAGAGGAGUUCUCUGGAAAUGGGUAAUGGAUCUUGUACAAAGGAGACUGGAAUACUCAAAGAAACAAUUUUAGAAGAUAUUACUGAUUACAAGGGAGAAGACAAAGGAAGAUAUUGACAUAAGAGAAACAGAAUAGGCAAAGGAAUAAAGAAGGUGGAUUAAAAGGAAGCGAGAAGGAAGAGGAAUGGAAAGGAGGAGGGGCAGGAGUGGGAAUGGGAACAAAGAUGAAGAAGAACAUGGAGAGUGAGAGAUAGAGGUGACAGGUGAGGGUUAAGGGGCUUCCUCACUCCCCUUGCCUUGCCUCACUCCCCUCCCUCACCUGCCUCCUACAAUCUAUUGUCCAUCAGAGGUCAUUUUAGUCUCAUCCUUCUGCUUCCAUCUGCAGCCACUCCAGUCCAUCUUCUAUGUCACUGUCACAGAGAGCUUUCUAAACUCAUAUCUCAUCGUCUUCUUCCCUCAUUCAGUUCAGUUCAGUUCAGUUCAGUCACUCAGUCGUGUCCAACUCU
ensembl:lncRNA